CCGCCAAGAUGCCGGCUUACCACUCUUCUCUCAUGGAUCCUGAUACCAAACUCAUCGGAAACAUGGCACUGUUGCCUAUCAGAAGUCAAUUCAAAGGACCUGCCCCCAGAGAGAAAUGAAGCUGAUAGGACCUUGAUAUAUAUAACUCUCUACAUUUCUGAAUGUCUGAAGAAACUGCAAAAGGUAAUUAAACUUGGAUGAUUGUAUAUCAGGAAAACAAAUUGCUGAGAGGCAUUUACCCUCCCAGUCAUCUGGGAUUUGUUGAGACUUUAAAGACAGGUAGAAAAUAUUUCCUCUGACUUACAGCAUGGACUUAAGAGAAAAAUUUGAAUUUAGUUCUCUGAACUUGUAGUAUAAUUGACUGACACAAAGAUAAAAGUAGUGGUGUUUUAAGGCUUUGAAUAUAUUUUCUCAAGAUAGAAAUCUUGACAGAGGAAUUCCUUUUAAGCCCUUGACUCAAGGGUUCUUAACCUGGGGUCCAAGGAUAGAAUUCUUCUUUUCCCUGUAAAAUAUCUGUGUGUGUGUGUGUGUG
rnacentral:sRNA from 1 species